rnacentral:lncRNA from 1 species
UGGUGUUUGGCAAAUGUGGAGGGGGAGACCUGAGCUGCUUGCGAGCAGCUGUUCGCAUAGUGCUUGAAUAGUGCUAGAGGAUAGGUCUGUCGUUGAAUCUUGAAAGCUCGUAGAUGUGGAGUUUUUUUUUUUUUUUCCUCCAGUCUUAGGUAAACCUUAGGAGGAACCGGUCGAAGGAGAGAGCGCCUUCUGGAACUGUCAAGCACUUGUUCGGCAGCUCAGUGACUGGCUUGGUCUACUUCUGAGGUGCCGAGGCAGGUUGUCUGCUGUUUUGAAACGAUAACAUUGGAAAUGGGGUCCCAUGUGUUGUUGAGGGAUGGGUGCUAAUGCUGGCAGCUGAAUGAUUACCUUCUAUGUUUUCAUUUGUUAAAGCUGAAACGCAGCGUACAACCUGGGACGUCACACCCAGAGCUGCCUCUGGCAAGAGGUGUUGUAGCUGGCUUAAGAGGGUAGAUGGAAGCAUCUGCCUCGGGGUGUCUCGCACAGGCUCAAAGGAGCAAACUGCAUUCUGAAGAGCUGCGUAAGUGCCAUGGCAGGCUCUCCACAGAAGUGGCUGAGGAUUUGAGAUGAGGCCAGAGAGUGACAAGGAGCAGCACGUGCAGGGAUGGUUUCCAAGCGCUGCGAUUGUUUUCUCUUCUGUUUAUCAGGUGCCACAGGCAAGGUGGGCUGUAACAUCAGUCUUUAGAAUUGGAGCAAAGCGGGUCACUUGAAUGCCGCACGGCAUCUGAGAAGGGUGUUUUAACAGGAAAAGUUUGUCUGGCGUGGCGGUGUCUGAUGGCAGUGUGUUUCCACAGGUGAAGAGGUGCCUGAAGCCCCAUCCUGGCUGGCCAGCGCACACCUCGCUGAGAACGAAAGCUGCUUUCCAGUAAUUCAGAAAGCUAAGUUACGUCUCGGCCUCGAGCAUCUGGGGCGUGUGCCUGUGCUUUUGGACCUGUCUGUAGCAUUUGGCACCUGCAUUAAUACUUUCUUGGCAUAUGUGCAGGCUUUUGGGGCCUGUGUCUUGGGGGGAGGGUUGGGGCCAGUGUCUAGGGGGGGUGUGGAGCUGCUUGUACAC